rnacentral:lncRNA from 1 species
UCAUCGUAUUCCUAAACAAUGUCUUGCUCUGCAUCAAAUCUGCUGGUGUUGGCUGCCACGCUGAUCACCAUCACUGCGCCCUCACAAUUAUGCUCGGCCCAUCCUGUAGUGCAAGAUGUGACGUCACAAGACCAGGCAAGCAGCUCAAGCAUAUCAGGUCUUUCGUGUACGAGUUCUCCACUGGGGAUGGCCAGUGGGGCCAUCCCUGAUUCCAGCCUGACGGCGUCAGGCUC